rnacentral:rRNA from 1 species
AUUGAACGCUGGCGGCAGGCCUAACACAUGCAAGUCGAGCGGAUGAAGAGAGCUUGCUCUCUGAUUUAGCGGCGGACGGGUGAGUAAUGCCUAGGAAUCUGCCUGGUAGUGGGGGAUAACGUCCGGAAACGGGCGCUAAUACCGCAUACGUCCCACGGGAGAAAGCAGGGGACCUUCGGGCCUUGCGCUAUCAGAUGAGCCUAGGUCGGAUUAGCUAGUUGGUGAGGUAAUGGCUCACCAAGGCGACGAUCCGUAACUGGUCUGAGAGGAUGAUCAGUCACACUGGAACUGAGACACGGUCCAGACUCCUACGGGAGGCAGCAGUGGGGAAUAUUGGACAAUGGGCGAAAGCCUGAUCCAGCCAUGCCGCGUGUGUGAAGAAGGUCUUCGGAUUGUAAAGCACUUUAAGUUGGGAGGAAGGGCAGUAAGUUAAUACCUUGCUGUUUUGACGUUACCGACAGAAUAAGCACCGGCUAACUUCGUGCCAGCCGCCGCAGUAAAAC